CCCCAGAUAGACUAUCUGGUUGAUAGGUCGGAGGUGUAAGGGCAGUAAUGUCUUCAGCUGACCGAUACUAAUAGGUCGAGGACUUGACCAAAU
rnacentral:rRNA from 1 species